GACGAACGCUGGCGGCGUGCUUAACACAUGCAAGUCGAACGAAGUGGCGAACGGGUGAGUAACGCGUAAUCAACCUGCCCUUCAGAGGGGGACAACAGUUGGAACCGACUGCUAAUACCGCAUACUGAAGGAGGGGAUUGCGUCUGAUUAGCUAGUUGGAGGGGUAACGGCCCACCAAGGCGAUGAUCAGUAGCCGGUAUGAGGUGAGUGACGGCCCAAUUGGGACUGGGACACGGCCCAGACUCCUACGGGAGGCAGCAGUUGGGAAUCUUCCGCGAUGGACGAAAGGCUGAGGGAGCAACGCCGCGUUAGUGAUGACGGCCUUCGGGUUGUAAAGCUCUGUUAAUCGGGACGCGGUACCGGAAUAGAAAGCCACGGCUAACUACGUGCCAGCAGCCGCGGUAAUUC
rnacentral:rRNA from 1 species